UUUGAUGAACUGAACAAGCUCCGAGUGUU
rnacentral:piRNA from 1 species